UACGUAGGUCCCGAGCGUUGUCCGGAUUUAUUGGGCGUAAAGCGAGCGCAGGCGGUUUGAUAAGUCUGAAGUUAAAGGCUGUGGCUCAACCAUAGUUCGCUUUGGAAACUGUCAAACUUGAGUGCAGAAGGGGAGAGUGGAAUUCCAUGUGUAGCGGUGAAAUGCGUAGAUAUAUGGAGGAACACCGGUGGCGAAAGCGGCUCUCUGGCCUGUAACUGACGCUGAGGCUCGAAAGCGUGGGGAGCGAACAGG
rnacentral:rRNA from 1 species